rnacentral:lncRNA from 1 species
GGCUUUCUCUGCUUUGUUUCUGUCUCUUUCUCCCUUUUCUCUCCUCACUGUCUUCUUUCCUUUCUCUGACUGCUUCUUUUUCUUCUUUUUCUGUCUUCCCUCACAAUUUUCUUUCAUUCUCUCCUUCAUUUCUUUCAAUCUGCCUCUCCUGUUUUUCCAUAUGCCUCCAAGGGUUUUUGUGUUCACCCCCUCUCUGAAAUAUGAUUCGACUCUCUAGCUAUAUCUUUCUUUUUCUCUGUUAGUUUCCCCUUCUGUCUUUUCCUCCUUACUCCCUUCUCUGUCCUGUGUCCCUCCUGUUUUUCCUCGUAAUAUAUCUCUUCUUUCUUUUUUCUCUUUUUGUCUUUGUGUCUCUUCUCCUCUUUUGCUCUACAUGUGCUUCUUUUCUCCCUUUCUCUCCGUGUCUUUCCCUCUCCCUCGUUGUCCCCUCCCCGGCCCCUCCUCCCUUCCUGUCAUGCUCGGACGCGGGAGGAAGGAGGGCGAUAACUUCAUGUGACUGCUCCUUCCCCGAACGCCCUUCAGCAUCGGCUGCGGCUUGGGAGACACCACAUGGACCCGGCUCCCCGGAGAAAGCUCCGUCACUGACAAGACCCACAAGGAGCCCCCAGCACCGCCCGGGAAGGGUACAAUCCAGGACCAGUGACCUGUGAAACUUGCAUGUAAAGUCUGAACCAGCCUCAUACGGGAUCAAAGCCAUCGCCAUGGACUUCGUUAUGAAGCAAGCUCUGGGAGGUAAGGGGGGGCCAAUUUGAACACCCAUGGCCUGUAUUUAUUUUCUUCUGAACAAUUGAUACAAGCAUUCUCUCUCUCUCUCUCUCUCUCUCUCUCUCUCUCUCUCUCUCUCUCUCUCUCUCUCUCUCCCCCCCCCCCCUUUUGGGGCAGUCUUAUACUCAGACAUAGACCUUUUUGACUAUGAUGUAUUGACACAAACAUUUAUACUCUCUCAUCUUUUGUUAUACCACCAGCACACUCAGAAUUACUUCUGUGUUGUUUUGUUACUGGGCACUGGCACACUCAUACCAACCUUCUCAUGCUCUUUGUCACACUGCAUUGACAGGCAC